UACGUAGGGGGCAAGCGUUGUCCGGAAUUAUUGGGCGUAAAGCGCGUGUAGGCGGCCAGAUAAGUCCGCUGUGAAAUCUCGAGGCUCAACUUCGAGCUGUCGGUGGAAACUAUCUGGCUAGAGUCCGGAAGAGGAGAAUGGAAUUCCUGGUGUAGCGGUGAAAUGCGCAGAUAUCAGGAAGAACACCCGUGGCGAAAGCGGCUCUCUGGAACGGUACUGACGCUGAGACGCGAAAGCGUGGGGAGCGAACAGG
rnacentral:rRNA from 1 species